GUUCCUGUAGCGCUAGGUAUAGCGCGUUGGACUUCUAAUCCGAAGGACAUGGGUUCGAAUCCCAUCUGGAUGGCC